CUCUUAUCCGGAGUGGUGGAGGGACUGGCCCGAUGAAACCCGGCAACCUUCUGAGAACUAAUCAGAAAGGUGCUAAUUCCUGCAGAGGAUUUUCUUCUGACAGAUAAGAG
rnacentral:ncRNA from 20 species